rnacentral:rRNA from 1 species
GAUGAACGCUGGCGGCGUGCCUAAUACAUGCAAGUCGAGCGAACGGACGAGAAGCUUGCUUCUCUGAUGUUAGCGGCGGACGGGUGAGUAACACGUGGAUAACCUACCUAUAAGACUGGGAUAACUUCGGGAAACCGGAGCUAAUACCGUAUAAUAUUUUGAACCGCAUGGUUCAAAAGUGAAAGACGGUCUUGCUGUCACUUAUAGAUGGAUCCGCGCUGCAUUAGCUAGUUGGUAAGGUAACGGCUUACCAAGGCAACGAUGCAUAGCCGACCUGAGAGGGUGAUCGGCCAGACUGGAACUGAGACACGGUCCAGACUCCUACGGGAGGCAGCAGUAGGGAAUCUUCCGCAAUGGGCGAAAGCAUGACGGAGCAACGCCGCGUGAGUGAUGAAGGUCUUCGGAUCGUAAAACUCUGUUAUUAGGGAAGAACAUAUGUGUAAGUAACUGUGCACAUCUUGACGGUACCUAAUCAGAAAGCCACGGCUAACUACGUG